UUCCAGACUCCUACGGGAGGCAGCAGUGGGGAAUAUUGCACAAUGGGGGAAACCCUGAUGCAGCGACGCCGCGUGAGUGAAGAAGUAUUUCGGUACGUAAAGCUCUAUCAGCAGGGAAGAAAAAAAGUCCUCUGGACUUUGGACGGUACCUGACUAAGAAGCCCCGGCUAACUACGUGCCAGCAGCCGCGGUAAUACGUAGGGGGCAAGCGUUAUCCGGAUUUACUGGGUGUAAAGGGAGCGUAGACGGCAGCGCAAGUCUGGAGUGAAAUGCCGGGGCCCAACCCCGGAACUGCUUUGGAAACUGUGCAGCUGGAGUGCAGGAGAGGUAAGCGGAAUUCCUAGUGUAGCGGUGAAAUGCGUAGAUAUUAGGAGGAACACCGGCGGCGAAGGCGGCCUGCUGGACCGCGACUGACGUUGAGGCUCGAAAGCGUGGGGAGCGAACAGGAUUAGAUACCCGCGUACA
rnacentral:rRNA from 1 species